rnacentral:rRNA from 1 species
GUCGUAACAAGGUCUCCGUUGGUGAACCAGCGGAGGGAUCAUUAUCGAGUUAUUCAACUCCCAAACCCUAUGUGAACUUACCACUUGUUGCUUCGGCGCGCGCUUCGGCGCCGCCGAGGACACUUAAACUCUUUGUUUUUAUAAGCAUUUCUGAGUGGCCGAAAGGCAAAAAUACAAAUGAAUCAAAACUUUCAACAACGGAUCUCUUGGUUCUGGCAUCGAUGAAGAACGCAGCGAAAUGCGAUAAGUAAUGUGAAUUGCAGAAUUCGGUGAAUCAUCGAAUCUUUGAACGCACAUUGCGCCCGCCAGCAUUCUGGCGGGCAUGCCUGUUCGAGCGUCAUUUCAACCCUCGAGCCCGACUCUUUUGAGGACGGCUCGGCGUUGGGGGACGGCAGACUCCCCCCGGCAUCUCGCCGGGGACGCCGCCCCCGAAAUCUAGUGGCGGCCCUCCGAGGCGACCUCUGCGUAGUAACUUGUUCUCGCACCGGAAAGCUCAGAGCGGCCACGCCGUAAAACCCCAACUUUUUUCAGGUUGACCUCGAAUCAAGUAGGACUACCCGCUGAACUUAAGCAUAUCAAUA